GAACGCUGGCGGCGUGCCUAACACAUGCAAGUCGAACGAAGCACUUUUUUACGAUCCCUUCGGGGUGACGAAUUUGUGACUGAGUGGCGGACGGGUGAGUAACGCGUGGAUAACCUGCCUCAUACAGGGGGAUAACAGCCGGAAACGGCUGCUAAUACCGCAUAAGCGCACGGUACCGCAUGGUACAGUGUGAAAAACUCCGGUGGUAUGGGAUGGAUCCGCGUCUGAUUAGCCAGUUGGCGGGCAACGGCCCACCAAGGCUACGAUCAGUAGGGGUUCUGAGAGGAAAGCCCCCCACAUUGGAACUGAGACACGGUCCAAACUCCUACGGGAGGCAGCAGUGAGGAAUAUUGGUCAAUGGGCGAGAGCCUGAACCAGCCAAGUAGCGUGCAGGAUGACGGCCCUAUGGGUUGUAAACUGCUUUUAUGCGGGGAUAAAGCGGGCGACGUGUCGCCCCUUGCAGGUACCGCAUGAAUAAGGACCGGCUAAUUCCGUG
rnacentral:rRNA from 1 species